GACGAACGCUGGCGGCGUGCCUAAUACAUGCAAGUCGAGCGAACAGACGAGGAGCUUGCUCCUCUGACGUUAGCGGCGGACGGGUGAGUAACACGUGGAUAACCUACCUAUAAGACUGGGAUAACUUCGGGAAACCGGAGCUAAUACCGGAUAAUAUAUUGAACCGCAUGGUUCAAUAGUGAAAGACGGUUUUGCUGUCACUUAUAGAUGGAUCCGCGCCGCAUUAGCUAGUUGGUAAGGUAACGGCUUACCAAGGCAACGAUGCGUAGCCGACCUGAGAGGGUGAUCGGCCACACUGGAACUGAGACACGGUCCAGACUCCUACGGGAGGCAGCAGUAGGGAAUCUUCCGCAGUGGGCGAAAGCAUGACGGAGCAACGCCGCGUGAGUGAUGAAGGUCUUCGGAUCGUAAAACUCUGUUAUUAGGGAAGAACAAAUGUGUAAGUAACUAUGCACGUCUUGACGGUACCUAAUCAGAAAGCCACGGCUAACUACGUG
rnacentral:rRNA from 1 species